rfam:Picoides pubescens contig41916, whole genome shotgun sequence.
GUGUCCUGACCUCAUCUUUGUGCUUCCCCUCACCGGAACUGUGGUGGUGGGGCCUGGGGGUGGACACAGAUCAACUUACCUCUCGUGUUAGGAGGGCUACCAAAGAUGUGUGCAAGCCCUUAAAGGCAGGAGAGGACACC